ACAGCACAAAGCACAAGCAGCAUGACUCUCCUCAGCAUCUUCAUCUGGACGCUGGCCUGCUGCUGCUUCACAGGAUCCAGCAGUCAGGUGACUGUGACUCAGCCUCCAGUGGUGACAUUUACUCCAGGAUCCACUGUCACCCUGUCCUGCAAAACCGACAAAGCCGUUUACACAGAUGAUGAUGGAGAUGAGGCACUUUACUGGUAUCAGCAGAAAACUGGAGAGGCUCCAAAGCUCCUGAUAAAACAUGUGAAUCAACGUUUGUCAGGAACACCAGCUCGGUUCAGUGGCAGUGGAAGCAGGACUGACUUCACUUUGACCAUCAGUGGAGUCCAGGCUGAAGAUGCAGCAGUUUACUACUGUCAGAGUUAUCACUUUAGUGGAGGGGGCACAAUUGGUGUUCACACAGUGAUAGAGAGCUGUACAAAAACCUCCCUCAGUCAGACUGCAUAG